GUUUCCGUGGUGUAGUGGUUAUCACGUGUGCUUUACACGCACAAGGUCUCCGGUUCGAUCCCGGGCGGGAACA
rnacentral:tRNA from 1 species